rnacentral:snRNA from 1 species
GUGCUUGCUUUGGCAGCACAUACACUAAGAUUGGAAUGAGACAGAGAUCAGUGCAGCCCCAUGUAAAGGUGACCUGCAAAUUCAUGAAGUAUCCCAUGUCUUU